CGCACAUUGCACCCUCUGGUAUUCCGGGGGGUAUACUUGUUCCAGCGUUAUUACGCCUCUCCAGUUUACUGGUUUUUGAGAUUGCGGCAUUCGCACUCUUUAAAUAUAUAAUGGUUGAUCUUGUGUGGUCAAGCUAGUUAAUUCAAAGCUUCCUCCAUAACCUCACCCAUCAAAAUCCAAAGGUUAACCUGGAAUCAAGUAGGGAUACCCGCUGAACUUAA
rnacentral:misc_RNA from 1 species